CCGAAAGGCGUAGGUGAUGGACAACAGGUUGAUAUUCCUGUACUACCGAUAACCGUUUGAGAGAAGGGAUGACACAGUAGGAUAAGCUAAGCACCCUGUUGGUUAUGUGUGCCCAAGCAUUGAGGCAGUCAAAGUAGGCAAAUCCGCUUUGAUAAUGCUGGGGUGUGAUGGGGAGCGAAAUUUAGUAGCGAAGUAGCUGAUUUCACACUGUCAAGAAAAGUCUCUAUCGAGGUUAAAGGUACCCGUACCGCAAACCGACACAGG
rnacentral:rRNA from 1 species